UGGGGAAUAUUGCACAAUGGGCGCAAGCCUGAUGCAGCCAUGCCGCGUGUGUGAAGAAGGCCUUCGGGUUGUAAAGCACUUUCAGCGAGGAGGAAGGGUAGUGUGUUAAUAGCACAUUGCAUUGACGUUACUCGCAGAAGAAGCACCGGCUAACUCCGUGCCAGCAGCCGCGGUAAUACGGAGGGUGCAAGCGUUAAUCGGAAUUACUGGGCGUAAAGCGCACGCAGGCGGUUUGUUAAGUCAGAUGUGAAAUCCCCGCGCUUAACGUGGAACUGCAUUUGAAACUGGCAAGCUAGAGUCUUGUAGAGGGGGGUAGAAUUCCAGGUGUAGCGGUGAAAUGCGUAGAGAUCUGGAGGAAUACCGGUGGCGAAGGCGGCCCCCCUGGACAAAGACUGACGCUCAGGUGCGAAAGCGUGGGGAG
rnacentral:rRNA from 1 species